AUGCAUCCGCAUGUCCCUCCGUUCACCUCCGCCGCGAUCUCCUUCCACGUCUCGCCAACACCACUCAUCAACCACCUUCAGCCGCAGACAUCAGACGCUACCGCCGCGAAUCUGAUAGAGAACGCCGCAUCACCCCGCCGCGAAUCUGACCAAGAAUACUGCACCACUGUUGACCGCCCACGAACACAUCAACCGCCGCUCAACCAUCUCACUGCCGGCAUCUCAUUUUGCACCGGUAACUUCUUCCGUCUAGAUUUUGUUUUUUUCCCUUUAUGUUCUACUAAUAUUCAUUAA